AGGGUUUGAUCCUGGCUCAGAACGAACGUUGGCGGCGUGGAUUAGGCAUGCAAGUCGAACGAAUCCCUUGGGGGUAACUCUGAGGGGGAAGUGGCGAAAGGGGCAGUAAGGCAUGGGUAACUUGCCCCGGGGACUGGGAUAGCCUACCUAACGGAAGGGUAAUACCGGGCGCCGUAUUCGGGGGCAUCCUCUGAAUACGAAACGAGUUUCGCCCCGGGAGAGGCUCAUGUGGUAUUAGCUUGUUGGUGAGGUAACGGCUCACCAAGGCCAAGAUGCCUAGCGGGUGUGAGAGCACGACCCGCGCCACUGGCACUGUGACACUGGCCAGACUCCUACGGGAGGCUGCAGUCGAGGAUCUUCGGCAAUGGGCGCAAGCCUGACCGAGCGACGCCGCGUGCGCGAUGAAGGCCUUCGGGUUGUAAAGCGCUGUCGAGGGGGAGGAAGGCCCGCAAGGGCUUGACCAAUCCCUGGAGGAAGCACGGGCUAAGUUCGUGCCAGCAGCCGCGGUAAGACGAACCGUGCGAACGUUGUUCGGACUCACUGGGCUUAAAGGGCGCGUAGGCGGGCUGUCAAGUCAGGGGUGAAAUCUUUCAGCUUAACUGGAAAAGUGCCUUUGAUACUGACAGUCUCGAGGGAGAUAGGGGCAUGCGGAACUUCCGGUGGAGCGGUGAAAUGCGUAGAUAUCGGAAGGAACGCCGGUGGCGAAAGCGGCGUGCUGGAUCUCUUCUGACGCUGAGGCGCGAAAGCCAGGGGAGCAAACGGGAUUAGAUACCCCGGUAGUCCUGGCCCUAAACGAUGGGUACUAGGUAGUGGCCUGAACAUGGGGUCACUGCCGAAGCAAAAGUAUUAAGUACCCCGCCUGGGGAGUAUGGUCGCAAGGCUGAAACUCAAAGGAAUUGACGGGGGCUCACACAAGCGGUGGAGCAUGUGGCUUAAUUCGAGUCUACGCGAAGAACCUUAUCCUGGGCUUGACAUGUCGCAAGAGCUAGUGAGUAGCUUGGCGGAAACGUCAGGCGAACGGUAUCCAGUCCGUGAGCUAGUACAGGUGCUGCAUGGCUGUCGUCAGCUCGUGUCGUGAGAUGUUGGGUUAAGUCCCGUAACGAGCGAAACCCUUGUUUCCAGUUGCCAGCGAGUAAAGUCGGGGACUCUGGAAAGACUGCCGGUGUUAAACCGGAGGAAGGUGGGGAUGACGUCAAGUCCUCAUGGCCUUUAUGCCCAGGGCUGCACACGUGCUACAAUGGCGUGGACAAAGGGACGCAAACCCGCGAGGGGGAGCAAAUCCCAAAAAGCACGCCCCAGUUCAGAUUGAAGGCUGCAACUCGCCUUCAUGAAGUUGGACUCGCUAGUAAUCGCGGGUCAGCAACACCGCGGUGAAUGUGUUCCUGAGCCUUGUACACACCGCCCGUCAAGCCACGAAAGAUCGGGGGGGGCCAAGUGGCCGUGCUAACCCGCAAGGGAGGCAAGCUCCUAACCCUCAACGGUCAAUUGGGACUAAGUCGUAACAAGGU
rnacentral:rRNA from 1 species